GCCAUAGCUCAAGCAGUAUAGCAUCUGCCUUGCAAGCAGAAGUCCCAGGUUCCUGGGUUCAAUCCCUGGCAUCUCCC